CUGCUUUGGCAGCAUAUAUAUUAAAUUUGAAUGAUACAGAGAAGAUUAGCAUAGCGCAUUGCAAGGAUGACACACAAAUUCAUAAAGCAUUCCUUAAAAAA
ensembl:snRNA U6 U6 spliceosomal RNA